GCCUGGGUGGCUCAGUGGGUUGAGCGUCUGACUUCGGCUCAGGUCACGAUGUUGCCGGUCAGGGUUCAAGCCCCGAGUCAGGCU
rnacentral:tRNA from 1 species